CUCAUCUUUGUGUGCAUCUCCUCGGCAAAGCCGCUCAAGAAGUGGUCACCAUUAAGCACACUGGCUAGUUGAACUACCUCGCUCUGAAAUUCAGAGAGACCAGCGUCUUCGUUUGCUGCUGUUGUCCUCAGUGGUGCUGCCUCUGGUAACUUCUCUGCAAUUAUUUCAAAUGAAACUAAUUAUUGGUAUAAUUGAGUCUUUACCAUAUCAAACACGUACUCGUAUAUGUCAUUCAUUCAAAAGUCCUUGCAACAUAAAAUUGAAGAAAAAUAUACCUGGGCAAUCAGUUCUAGGAGAGGAUAGCUCUCCGACAACGCGUUCGAAAGUGCCGGCCCAAGCAUCUCUAUGAGUCAAGAAGUUGGAAGAUAGAUUGAACAUUUUCUUUAUCGUUGCAGGGAUCGAUGAGUGCUCGAAUUCAGAGUUCGGGAAAGGACCCUUCGGACCACUAAUCACUGCAACAGAGCCACCCCAAUAUUAGCAGAGCAAUCGCAUGCAUCUAAAGGCAUCAACAUUUAACUUACCAGUGCCUUUCUUGAUCCAAG
rnacentral:lncRNA from 1 species